rnacentral:rRNA from 1 species
GAUGAACGCUGGCGGCGUGCCUAAUACAUGCAAGUCGAGCGAACAGACGAGGAGCUUGCUCCUUUGACGUUAGCGGCGGACGGGUGAGUAACACGUAGGUAACCUACCUAUAAGACUGGGAUAACUUCGGGAAACCGGAGCUAAUACCGGAUAAUAUUUCGAACCGCAUGGUUCGAUAGUGAAAGAUGGCUUUGCUAUCACUUAUAGAUGGACCUGCGCCGUAUUAGCUAGUUGGUAAGGUAACGGCUUACCAAGGCAACGAUACGUAGCCGACCUGAGAGGGGGUUGGCCGCACCUGAAAUUGAACCCCGUCCAGGCCUCUUACGGAGGCAGCAGUAGGGAAUCUUCCGCAAUGGGCGAAAGCCUGACGGAGCAACGCCGCGUGAGUGAUGAAGGUCUUCGGAUCGUAAAACUCUGUUAUUAGGGAAGAACAAACGUGUAAGUAACUGUGCACGUCUUGACGGUACCUAAUCAGAAAGCCACGGCUAACUACGUG